CACUACUUCAGGGUCCAUAACCUGAACUGAAGUCCCAGGCUUUUCACUUGAGUGCUGUACAUGUGUGUCCUUCAGGUACUGAUGAAGCCUCUACAGAGCUCUCUUCUCAGCCUUGCUCUGCCAUUUCUGCUGCUACUGCAGCAGUGACACUGGAAUCCCUGAAGCAUCAAAUCUUGAAUUGGAGGAAAGUACUUCUUUCCAUAUUUUGUAAUAUGUCCUACUAAAGGAUAGCAAAGCAGAGUUGUUUGCUCCCAUCUUAGAAACUUUUAAAUAAAAUUUAGGUAUUACUUUUAAACAUAGGUCCACAGAGAAGACAAAUCUAAGUGGCAAAAAUAAUGUGUAUUCAGCGUCACUAUUCCCCAAGGAUGACAAAUGUAUGUUUUUUGCUGUAAUAUCUCCCAGUUGACUCCAUCUUCUCUUCUAUUGAAUUUUCAACCAGAGAGCUUCUUAGUUCCUUAUUCAAAUACAGUUUUGGUAGACCUAACCAGUAUUAUAUGUGCCUGAUCUAUCUAAAUCUAAUCAAGUUUGGUUUAAAUGAAAUCAAGUGUACUCACAGCCUCUCAUACCUAUUCCAUUUUUACUUUU
rnacentral:lncRNA from 1 species